rnacentral:rRNA from 4 species
GUGGACGCCAGUCUGCAUGGAGCCGACCUUGAAAUACCACCCUUUAAUGUUUGAUGUUCUAACGUGGACCCGUGAUCCGGGUUGCGGACAGUGUCUGGUGGGUAGUUUGACUGGGGCGGUCUCCUCCUAAAGAGUAACGGAGGAGCACGAAGGUUGGCUAAUCCUGGUCGGACAUCAGGAGGUUAGUGCAAUGGCAUAAGCCAGCUUGACUGCGAGCGUGACGGCGCGAGCAGGUGCGAAAGCAGGUCAUAGUGAUCCGGUGGUUCUGAAUGGAAGGGCCAUCGCUCAACGGAUAAAAGGUACUCCGGGGAUAACAGGCUGAUACCGCCCAAGAGUUCAUAUCGACGGCGGUGUUUGGCACCUCGAUGUCGGCUCAUCACAUCCUGGGGCUGAAGUAGGUCCCAAGGGUAUGGCUGUUCGCCAUUUAAAGUGGUACGCGAGCUGGGUUUAGAACGUCGUGAGACAGUUCGGUCCCUAUCUGCCGUGGGCGCUGGAGAACUGAGGGGGGCUGCUCCUAGUACGAGAGGACCGGAGUGGACGCAUCACUGGUGUUCGGGUUGUCAUGCCAAUGGCACUGCCCGGUAGCUAAAUGCGGAAGAGAUAAGUGCUGAAAGCAUCUAAGCACGAAACUUGCCCCGAG